GACCUUGUAGCACAGUAGAGCAUCGUUCUAGAAAUGCGAAGGUCGCGGGGUUCGAAUCCCAGCCGCGGUCA